AGUGAACGCUGGCGGUAGGCCUAACACAUGCAAGUCGAACGGCAGCACAGUAAGAGCUUGCUCUUACGGGUGGCGAGUGGCGGACGGGUGAGGAAUACAUCGGAAUCUACUUUUUCGUGGGGGAUAACGUAGGGAAACUUACGCUAAUACCGCAUACGACCUGCGGGUGAAAGCAGGGGAUCUUCGGACCUUGCGCGAUUGAAUGAGCCGAUGUCGGAUUAGCUAGUUGGCGGGGUAAAGGCCCACCAAGGCGACGAUCCGUAGCUGGUCUGAGAGGAUGAUCAGCCACACUGGAACUGAGACACGGUCCAGACUCCUACGGGAGGCAGCAGUGGGGAAUAUUGGACAAUGGGCGCAAGCCUGAUCCAGCCAUACCGCGCGGGUGAAGAAGGCCUUCGGGUUGUAAAGCCCUUUUGUUGGGAAAGAAAAGCAGCAGGUUAAUACCCCGCUGUUCUGACGGUACCCAAAGAAUAAGCACCGGCUAACUUCGUG
rnacentral:rRNA from 1 species